GUGAGGACAGAGAGGAGGCUGGACGUUAUGUCUAACCACUGUGCUGCGUAUUUUUUGUUCACCAACUCUCCAUAUCCCAGGAUGAAGUUGUGUGGGUGUGUGUGUGUCUGUGUGGCGAAGAGUUGCUGGCUCAGCUCAAGCUUCCUCGCACCAUCCAGGAGGCCAAGACCCGCCAUGAACUCGGCUCUCUCUCGCUGCUCGGACAAGGUGAGCAUCAAACACUUACGUGGUCGUGAAAUGUAAUUGAAGUGUAAUGAGCGAGAGGAGGAUUCUCCACUUCAAUGGUGGAAUGACCUCUGCCUUUCUACGAAUGUGUGGGUAGUUUGAUGGCCCGGGAAGUUAAUAAUCCUUGACUGCAAUGCCUCAUUCAUGACAUCUGCUUACCCCAGUGAAUGUCCACGAUGUCACCACUACGAUGGCCAGUUAUAAGACUGCCAUAGCGACUGAGUUGGUGCAAAAAGUAUCCCCUACCUGGCGGACAGUACCUCCUUGCCCACGAGAUCAUCCCUUUCAUUCUGUGUAA